rnacentral:lncRNA from 1 species
UAACCGUAGCCUACAAAUUGGUACAGUUUCUUUGGAUGAAUCAAGUAUAAAAAUGAUGAAUUUUGAGAGUUUCUUGUUGCUCCAUGGUUAUUGAUUCUUUGAAUGAAGCUCUUAUACAAAUUUGGAAAAAGAAAAAGAAAUUACAAAAAUGAUAAAGAAAGAAAGAAAAGAAAACUAUAAAAUCAAUUCAUUAUUGACAUAUCAUUAUAAAAUUAUAUAUACCUACACUUCGGGAUUGUAUGAACUCAACCUAAACUUUGGUCAGUAUAUGAAUUUUGUCUAGAUAAACAUUAUGUGAUAUGUUUAAUUUUGAAGUAAACUUCUAAACUUUCAAAGUAAAUCAUUUUAGACUUACAGUUAAGAUGUUCUCAUGUUCUAAAUGCUCGUUUCCUUAACUUGACAUUUGAAGGUUGCAAACAUGUGAGAAUUAAAUUUAUGGACCAUUUUUAAACGUUAUGCAUAAUACUGUCUAAAUUUGUUUACUUGUAACAAUUUUAGAAUUUAAUUGAAACUAUUAUAUAUUUUGCAUUAUAUUUUUCUAAAUUUGAAAGAAGCAUGUUAAGAGACACUUGUCAAAGUUUGGACAUAAAAUUGAUACAAUCUCGUUAGUUCAAUGCUAAAAUUAGUGCAAAUUCGAAACUUUGUGUUUCUAAUUUUUUUUCUUCUAAAAUAUUAUUGAAUUAACAAAAAGUUUCUAUUAGUACUUCUUUUUAUUAUUGUAACAUAGACAACUUCAACCAUCAGACAGUUGUGUAAUUUUUAUUUUUUUUCUUCCUAAAGUCUGUCCAAAGUUUUUAUUAGACAUUGAUUUUUCAUUCAUUUCUCAACUAGUUUUUAGAUCUUAUAGCAUUACAAUUGGCUUUAAACUAUUGAAUGAAUUUGAUAUCUAUGUACCAAGUUGUUGAUCAAAAUGCAUUUCGGACUAAAUAUUUUUGACAAAAAUACGUGUCAUGCUAGCUUAAAAAUUCGAAAAGAAAAUGUUAAAACUUUUCUAAAUCAUACAAUACUUUAUAUGCCUAGUACACAUUGAAUAACUAAUCUUAUCAUUAGCCUAAUUAUAAUAAUUUGAAUCAUACAAAAAUUUAAGCUUGCAAGGUAAAGUGAAAAUUCCUUAAAUUGGAUCAAAACUUUCAUGCAUACUAUUCAAAGUUGAAUUGAAUUCAACAUUGGAAGGGGAAAGAAAAGUGUAUUUCCAAGAUAGCAUUUUGCAAAAUAUAAAGUACAUUUAAAUAGGUAUUAAUCAUCUAAAAGUCGAGAAAAGCUAAAACAGAAUGGAAAAUUGCAUCAUAUGACAAACAUUUAGAAAAAAAACAGCUCAUGACACCAAUUUUUUGCAUAUUGCGAAUAUGACAAAAUUAGUGAUAUCAGACGGUUUUUAGAUGGUAAUUAUAAGGCUAUCAAAGAGUCAUCACUUCUAAAUUUGCUACUUUUGUAAAUUUAGAAAAUGUGAUGACAUGGACUCUAUUAUCAUAAAACUUUUUUUUUUAUAUUUUUGUAAAAGCCCCAAAGAGAAUUAUAGUGUUGCUCUUGCUACCUAGAAGUCUCAAUUCAACUUUUAUUGUUUGGUACCUUUUGUGGGUUUUUGUUUAGGCUCAAAACAUUGGUUCAAUAGUUGUGGAUCAGGUAUUGUUUGAGAUGAUAUCUACAUUUUUCUUACCAAAAGAAAAAAAAAAGAUAAUUUGAAGAAAAAGAAAUAAGGUUGAUACCUUAUUCUGGUGCCACUAUGAAUACAACCUACUUUGUAGUUAUUACAAUCGUUUUAAAGUGCUACAAAUGAUAUGAUCCAAAUCAUUCAUGUGGAGAUAUCAGAGCGGGGUAUUCUAUACAAAGAGUUUGUAUAAGACCAAACAAUGAAAUGAAUACUCUUUUAUUAACACUGUUACUAGAAGAGACUACUUCACCAGAAUGACCAUAGGUGACUUGACCUAAUUCCUAAUGAGUUAUGAACAUCUUUCUAUGAAGGUGAUCCUUUGUUUUGUGUAAGUGAGAGUGACCUAUGUUGCCGACUCAACAUGCCUACCAUUUUGUGGAUCCGUUUGAUUUGGAGCUAGAAAUACAACUACAUAAGAAGGAUUUUCUCUUAUUCUCUAUAAAUAGAGUAAGUAGAGAAAUUGCUUUCUUAAGAGUUAGAACAAUGUGGUACCAUACACUCUCUUGGCUUGAGAAAUGGUGUCGUGUCAUUGAUACACAAGAAGGAAUUCACUCAUUCUCUAUAGAUAAAUAAAUAGAUACACUGGUUUGUAAAUAUUGUAAAUGCUGGGGAAGCGCGCAUUAAGGUUCGUUAUAACUAUUAUGGUUUUAUCAGAGCGUAUGUCAGUAUAAAAGAUAAAAAAAGAAUGAUCCUCCUUUGUUGUACAAAACUUCUCCAUGAUCCAUGGAAAGGGAUUAAUAGAAAAAGAAGUAAAAAAUCAUGAAUCCUUGGAGAGGCAGGCAACGAUGGACUUUGAUGAACUCAACCCUUAGUGUGAACUGUUUUAAUUUGUUGAAAACCUAGCAGUUCCACCGGAGAGUUUUGAAUUCAAUAAAAUGAAAUUUAAUGUUGAUGCGCCUUCCAAAGAAAAUCACACUAAGGCCAAGGAAGUUAAUGAAUCAAACCAGCCAAUCCAACAAAGAAAGAGAAAGGGAUAGAGAAAGGAAAAGCUUUAUUGAUAGCAAAUGAUAACAACAUGGACACAGGUGACUCAUCAAUGCAGGUUUUAAUGGAAGAUAACAAAAAGACACAGAAGGCGGGUUCAAAGAGGAAAGUGGUUUUCACUUCCCUAAUAACGAAACUCACCUUUACACUCUAGGGUUCAAAGAGGAAAGUCAUUUUCAAAGCAAAUGAUUGCCAAAACCCAACUAGGAAGUGACAAAGGAAGCCCCCAAGAAACACAACCAUUAAUUUCCAUGAAAGGACCACAACAACAAAAUAUUUAUAAAGUCAAACAAAAUGGUUCUCCUUCAGUGAAAGAGAAAAUUUCUCACCUAUCACAAUUCACCUACAGUAAAAAUAUUGAAAAGGAAGGGAAUUUGAUUAUGGAUUUAAACAGCAAAGGGUUGAAGCUAAACUCAGGCAGCUCAAAGCUUCAAAAAUUCGAUAGAUUGUCUCUCUCCUAUCCCAGAUAUUAUUCUCCCUCAUCACUCUCAAGACAUGAUUCGUUAAAGCCUAUCAGAACACAAAAUUCAAAAACAGUUUAAAUCCAGCAAGCAAAAGGAAAGAAAACUAGACUAAGGGAUUGGUAAAAAAAGAACAAGCUCAAACUCUUGCCAGUGUUGUAAGAAAUUGACUCAUCAACAGAUGCAGAAGCAGAAACUGUGAAAUUAAUUGGAUCAUUUUUAUGAUGGCUCAAGCAACAAAAUUGCAGGAUCUUUUGUUUUGAAAUGUUAAGGGUUGGGCUCUCCCCAAAAAAAGAGCCCAAAUAAAAGCAGUAAUUUUAAAUUAUGAUCCUCAUGUUGUCAUUCUUACUUAAAAUAAACUCCAAAAUAUUAGCAUUCAUCUCAUCAAAUCUCUUUGGAGAAAAAAAAAAAAAAAAAACAAUUAAAUGGCAUUUGAGAGUUUCAUCUGUUAGUUCUGGAGGCAUUCUGGUUGUUUGGGAUGAUGUUCAACAUUCUUGUAUUCGUAACUUUGAAGGUUCUUUUACACUCUCCCUCAAUUUUUAAGGAAAAGUCAAAAUCCAUUGUAAAUCUUUAGGGAGAUGUGUGAAAUCUCAUAGGAGUUUGGUCUAAGUGUCAUUGGUACGACGCCUCCGUUCUUUCUCUUAACUUUAGAGCUUUGUUAGAUUAGGUUGUUCUAGACUUCACUCUAGCCUUCCAAGCUUGUAACUUUUCUCUUCAUUAAUAGAUUUGGCAUGCCUUUCUAGGGCUCUUCCUAGAUUGAUUUGACUUGAUUUCUUUAUAAAAAAGAAUUAAACGUUCAUUCUUAGAAAUUCUUUCUUUCUUUUUUUUACACAAAUUUAUGUUCUUUCAAAUUCUAAGCUAAAUGUUGAAAAUAAAAUAAAAUAUUAGAUUUAGAAUACAAAUUUAAAAAAUAAAAAAACCUUCACAACACCACUCACAUAAUCCUUCCCCCAAACAUAUCUUAUCAUAACUCUACCCACAUAAUUCUUCCCCGAACACAUCUUAUCAUAAUACUACAUUCAUAAACCUUUCCCCCAAACACAACUCAUCAUAACACCUCUUUUAUCAUAACUCCAACCCUUUGAUAAACCAACCCUUUUUCCAAACAGCCCCUAAGUGUUUGCAUGUCGUGACACAUGGAAACCACCCAAUGACAAGGCUCUAAACACCUAAGGCACUCCUUUAUUCGCCUAACCUCCAAACCAUCUCACAUAGCCUACACCUAACUCGCAUGAGUUAGUAGGUCGCAUGCCUCAACGCAUAGAGGAUCCCUUGACACUUCUUGUCACCUAGUUUUUCCCACAAAAACCUCUUCUCUCAUGCUUUCAAGCCCUUGGCCGCAUAGGCAUCUCGUCUAGUCCUUAUCUUGUCCGCAAGGCACAUCUAACUGUCUAGUAUGCCUUGCUUGGUCGCAUCUAACUGUCUAACUGUCUAGCUUUGUUCUUAGAGGUUAUUUAGACAACCUUGACCACUUAGUUUAACCUCAAAAUGCCUAAUAUCAUACAAAACACAUAAUAUCAUGCAAAAUGCCCCACCCAUACUUUGGCUAUCUACUUGACACUUUGCUAAUUUUUCCAAAUUUUCGUUCGUCCAACAACCAUAACACUCUUAUAAUGACACACUAAGAAUAAGAAACCAACGAUGACACUUAGGCCACUACCACAACUUAGUAAACCUUUUUUUAACCUUUUUUUGAACUACUACUUCAACUAAUCUUGAAUCUAGCUUAUCCAUUUGUUUGAUCGGAAGGCUAUAGUUCAAUGUUUACAAAUUUUUAGUUACAUUUAAAAAAAAAAAAAUUACAACCAUCUUGCAACUCCCAAAAUUGAAUUUUUAACUCCAAUAUAUGCAUGUUUUAGGCAUUUUAAAGAUAUAAACAUGUUUUAGCAAGUUUUUAGUUAUAAAAUUUUUUAACUCCAAAUCAAUUUUAAGCACGUUUUAGCUUAUGAUUUGUUUGUGAGAUAUUUGCGAUAUAGCUAAACAUUCAUUAAAACAUGUGUAAUUUCACCUUAAAUCACAUCUAAAUCACUUAAAACAAUUAUAGUAUGUAAUCGAGAUUUUAAAACUACUCUAAAUCACCUAAGCAAGCAUGACGUAUUUUUAAGUUUGAAAGUUGAGAGAUCUCUGUAAGAUGUUGCAAGAUUAAAAAAAAAAGUAUCUAAGAUCCUAUCUUAAUAUGUCUAAACUCAUCCUAAAUCACUUAAAACACAUAUAAGAAUGAUUUGGAAUUGGCUGUUUUCAAGUUUGGAAGUUGGAAACUUACUCCGAGAUAGUGUGAGAUAUUGCAAAAUAAAAUAAAAAACCACCUAAAAAAUAUUUACAACAUGAACAAAACAACCCAAAAUCAUAUAAAUGUUCCUACAAUUAAAAUGGUGGAAAGGGAAAGAAGGAGGACAAUUGUCAUUAAGAAAUUAAGGCAUGAGAACAAUUUUCGCAUUUCACUAUUUAUUUAUCCCAAAACUCGACUUUUUGAAAUGUUAUCCUACAACUUUUAGACUCCAUUGAAAAUGUCUUACUCUUAGUAAUUACCCAAUUUUCAUCGUCGUAUUGACAUUUUAAUAGAAUACUUUUAUAUAUUUUUUUUCAAGUUGGUGAAUAAACAUUUCCAUUAUAUUGUAAUUUUUUUUUAUUAAAAAACCAAUAAAAUAUCAAUUAUAUGUGUAUAAUAUAAAUAAUUAAAAUAUUUUUUAAAAAUAUAACAAUGAGGAAAAUUAUCAAUUUACACCCCUCAACUUUGGAUCAACUAGCCAAAAACUUCUAUAAAUGUAUCCAUUUAAAAACUUACAUGAUUCUAUUAAUUUAAACUCUCUCUUAUGUUUUAUUUAUAUACAUUUAUGAAAGUUGAAGAUUUAAAUUGAUAUAUUUACGAAAGCUUGGAGUUUUAAUUGAUACACUUAUAAAAGUUCAUAGUUUAAAUUGAUAUAAACUAUUAGAUUAGAGUUUAAAUUGAUACAACUAUACAAUUAUUAGUUCAACGUUUAAACGAGUACAACACAUAGUUGAGAAGUAUAAAUUGAUAUUUACCUUAGUAAAUAUUUUAACUUAUUCUUAAAAGCAUAGAAUACUUAUUUAUUAAUUAAAAUAAUUAAUAUGUUUAUUUUUUAGUGAUAUUUAUUGACAUUGAUAAUUUUCUUUUGUCUGAAGUUAAAAUUGUGACGUUUUCGCCAACAUUCAAAUUUAUUCAAAUAUUAAAAUAAACAGAGACUACGUCUUAAUAAACAGAUGCAAAAGUAAUAUAAAAACAAAUCGAUACUACAUCUUAACGAUGGGAUGCAAAAUUUAAAGAAUUAUAGUCAAUGAAAAGCAGUUAAAAAACUGAUAGUCACAUCUUAUACCAACAAAAUACAUCUUUUUUGAUACGAUAUUUUAGUCAUAAAAACUUCAAAGUUAUAAAUUGUUUGGUUUGGAGCAAUUUUAUAUUCGAUAAACACUUAAAAUAUUUUUAGGGAGCAUGUGAUGAACAUUGACAAAAACGUCUUGGAAAAAAUGCAACUUCAAACUUGAUCAAUUUGAAAUUUUAUCAUGCUUCCCAAAUUGUACAGGUUUUCUAUUCUAGUACACAUUCAAGUUUCAAAACUCAAAUGUAUGGUAAAAGGAAAAACAUAAUGAAAAAAAUGGAUUAUUUGAAAAAUAAAUAAAUUAAAAAGGUCUCUUACUCAACUGCGAAAAAGUAAACUAAAGAGUGGUAAGGUAUUCUUUUGUUACCUUUGAAACCAUUUUUGUUAUUUAACAAUUUUCAAUAAAUUUUUUUUUAAUUUAAUUUAUUAUUCAAAGUAGGUAUGGAUAUAUUUCUAAAUUAAUAAAAAUAUCUAUAGAUACUUGGAGGCUAAUUUUUCAAAAAAGAAACCAACAGCAAUGACUAUUUUAAGAUUUAUUGAAAUGACUGAUACUUUUGUAACUAAUAAUUAAAUAUAUAACAUUAUUUUAAAAAAUUACAAAUAAAUCAAAAUAUAUUUGGGUUAAAAUCUAUAAUUAAGAAAUUCUUAUUAGUAAUAGAUUUUUAUGGUUGAUAAACUUUAUAGAGUUAGAUUUCAAUUUUGCAAUAUCUACAAAUUCUUUGCAUUAUAUUAUAUUUUGGUAAUACAUCAGAGUUCGUUGGUAUAUUUGUCAUUGUUCACUUAAUAAAAAUAUAAAAAUUAAAAUGGACAUUUAAAACCAUAAAUCGAAAUAGAUAGUUGAAAACUAGUCUACGACUAACUUACUAUUUCUUUUUGAUUUGUUUACUAUUUCCUACCUAGACUAAAAUAGUUUGCACAACAAUAAAUUGAUAAGAACAUAUACUACACUUGAUCUUAAUCAAAAGGUCAAGAAAAGUCUACAUUUCAGAUGCAUACUAUUACCAUAACCUAUAAACUAUAAUAAAUUUGAACUAUAACAAUCAGUUCCAACACCCAUAAAAGAUAUUUAUAAAAAGAAAAAAAAAAUGCAUGUAUUAAAAGAAAAUAAAAGCUCAAUGAAAUAGUGACAGAGGAGGAUAAUGGAGAUGAGUUCUGCACGUGUUUGAACAAUUUAGCCACCAAGUAAUGAUUGUUUUCAAUCAGAAACAAGACUGAUAGAAAGAGUCUUAAGACAGAGCACUGUUGUUUUCAGACUCUAUAGGGAUACUAGACUUGAAGACUAUCUUUAGACUUUUGGGGAAACAUAAAUUGACACUAAAAAAUAGAAAAACAAACAAAAAAAAAGAAGAGUGGGGCUAUUCUUUUCUUUCUAUGUCAUUAGUUUUCCCUAUUGGAUCAUUUGCACAUGUGACCCUCUUCAAUACGAAAUCAUCCUCACCCUUCAUCUGUUCUUGACACGUACCACACAUAUCGACACUACCAAAUUCUGUUCCACCAAAACUUUAAUAAUAUAAUGCAUAUUGGGCAGAGAGUGGAAAAUUCAUCCCAUCUACUUAUUCCCCCAUUAAGGUUUUCUUUAGCCUAAGCUUCUCCCUACACAUUUUUAUAGUUGUUUUUUCACGUCGGUCUCAACUCUAAAGGAAUUUAUGCCUCGUUGACAUGUCAAGAAGUUGAGUUCAUAGCUAAUAGGUAAAGAAAACUUUUACUUUUGGUGUGUUCUGGUGAUCUGUUGGUGAGAAGUAUAAGUGGACUAGAGACUCUCAUACGAGUAUGGGAAAGAUUCUCGUCUCUUUCUUUUCCUCUUAUAUUUCGUUAUAUCCUCGUUUGUUCAAGUACAAUGUAACUGACAAAGUAAUGGUAAAGAACAAACCAAGCAGGGGAAAAUAGUUUUUUAAUCCAAUUUUCUAUACAUAGUUAACUACAUACUAAACUCUUUUUUCCCUCUUUUCUUUUUAAUAUUUUUGAAUUCUUAUUACGGUGUGAUUAGAGUGGGGUGCCAAGGUUCAAGUAUUGCUAUUCUUUUCCUCCUCAUUUUCUCAUUUUUUAGAACUCUCUUUUUUCUUUUUUUUUUUCAGAUUUUACUGACUUUUUUCUACAAAAUGGCGUUAAUAUAAAGCGGCUAUUCCCUGUCAUCCGAGUGCCCAAUAUCAGAGUGAAAUAGAAGCCCUUCCUUAUAUGUAUAUGUUUUCAUAUCCACAUGUAUUUACUAAUCAUGUAGCUCCUCUAGGCACAAUCCAGAGCAGUGAAAUGGAAGGGGAGGUAGUAAAGUCCAGGUUCAAAAGGGUUUGUGUGUUUUGUGGGAGCAGCACAGGAAAGAGGGACUGCUAUAGAGAUGCAGCCAUUGAUUUAGCUCAGGAGCUGGUACUGCUUUGAAAACCUCUCUUAAUAUCACCCAUUCACGAAAGCCAAUAUGUCUUUUUCACUUUCCCCCUUCCUCCCUUUCUACGUGUAUAUACAAUUAUGCUGUUGUUUCUCUAUGCAGGUUUCCAGAAGAUUGGGGCUUGUUUAUGGAGGUGGAAGCAUUGGGCUAAUGGGUCUGGUUUCACAAGCUGUUCAUCAUGGUGGCGGCAGAGUCAUGGGGUAAUUGAUCGAAAAAGCUUGAAUUUCUAUUCUGAAAAUGGUUUGAUGUUUCAAAGUUUUAAUUUUACAUCUGUUUGUUUAAUUUGUUUGGGUUUGGUUGAUUUGCAGUAUCAUUCCCAGGACAUUAAUGAACAAAGAGGUUAGAAAUAUGCCAAUAUCCUAAUUUGUUUUGGGUAAUUGAAAAUUCAAUCAGCCAACACUUAACUUGUUAUUCUACAAAAUGAUAAUUUCUUGGGGGAAAAAUUACAGAUAACUGGAGAAACAGUGGGGGAGACAAGACCAGUAGACAACAUGCACCAAAGGAAGGCAGAAAUGGCCCGCCAUUCAGAUUGCUUUAUAGCCCUACCAGGUCCCAACCAUUCCCUUUUCCCUUUCCUAUUCAGAAACACAAUCCCGCACUUCUUUUUUACAUUUCUUUUCAUAGUCCCCUUUUUAAAAAAGACCCCUGAUAAUGGGUUUCAUUUUCCCUUCACUGCACUGAUUUUCAGGUGGGUAUGGAACUAUGGAAGAACUGUUAGAAGUCAUCACAUGGGCUCAACUAGGCAUCCACGACAAACCAGUAAACUCUACAAAAAUUACCUCAUUAAACUCUGCCAGAAAGCUUUGUUUUGAUCUCACGACCUUUAAGUUUGUUGUGCAAUUUCUCUUCCUCAGGUUGGGUUGCUGAAUGUGGAGGGCUACUACAACAACCUCCUCACUUUCAUCGACCAAGCAGUGGACGAUGGUUUCAUAAAACCAUCACAACGCAAGAUCAUAGUGUCAGCACCCAACGCCAAGGACCUGGUUCAGAAACUAGAGGUCAGUCAUUAAGUCAGACAUUUCAUCGAACACAACUUCUAAAUUCUACGAUUAAAUUGUAAGCAGAGUAUUUGACUAAUGAUGAUCAUGGAUUGAUUUAUUUAGGAAUACGUGCCUGUACACGAGGAAGUGAUGGGCAAACCGAGAUGGGAAAUUGAGCAGCCACAGCCACAGCAACCGAAAAACCAAGUGGGGUUCGAACCCAAAACUUUCCACGCUCAGAUCGCCCUGUAAAGUUGAAACAUGAAAAGAAAGG